rnacentral:rRNA from 1 species
UACAGAGGUGGCAAGCGUUGUUCGGAAUUACUGGGCGUAAAGGGCGCGUAGGCGGCCUACUAAGUCAGACGUGAAAUCCCCCGGCUUAACUUGGGAACUGCGUCUGAUACUGGAAGGCUUGAGGAUGGGAGAGGGAUGUAGAAUUCCAGGUGUAGCGGUGAAAUGCGCAGAUAUCGGGAGGAACACCAAUUGCGAAGGCAGCUCGCUGGGACGGUACUGACGCUGAGGUGCGAAAGCGUGGGGAGCAAACAGG